UGUAUGGUAUGAUGGUCUAUUGUCAGGGACAUGCACAGGUACAGGCUAUUGUUGCCUGGGCAACUGCCCGUUUGCCCUGAUUGGCUUAGCUGCCCCUCUGGUGAAAGAGCCUAAAUAAACUUUUCUUUCUUUCUUUUUUUAUUUUUUUGCUGUGGUGGUUGCAUUAUUACGAUAAUACGCCCAUCAUUACUAAAGUUAAAUGAAAUUAAAUUGCUAUAUUAUCCAAUCUUGCCCUCAGCGAUGCCCUCUGGCCCCAGUCACGUGACUUUGUUUAUAUUCUCACACACAGAGCACCGCAUAUGAAAGAUGGACAGCCAAGCCCUUCUGCCUUCACGUGAGUUUUUAAAGUUAUGGAGAUUAUGACAAAUGCCUUGUGAAUAGUAAUCAAAAAAUCCAGCUUCAGUUGCAGCUUCAGCUUGUAACGUUUGCAUCACUUUGCGCAGCAUGGCCUUAUAUUAACGUAAAAUGCUACGUUAUCAACAAAAACUAAUGACAGCCUAUGUUGCAGCAGCAGGCUUACGUAGCAACGUUACGUCCGUUACAUUAGUGUGCGUUCUGUAGAGAAGAGAGAAGCUCAGGGAUGGGAUGGUUUGGGCUCUGGAAUCAUGCUAGGUUAUAUGUUGUUUACAGUCACUAUGUUACAUGAGUUUUCAACCAACAAUCAGAUGUGACGUUAGUGAAAGUGAAAGGCACCUUAUUUUGUUAUGAGAUGAUAAAUUAAUGUCCCAAUUGGUUAAUGUAAUAAACUUUGCAUUAAAAAAAUGUAUAACCUAAUGUUAGUUUUGUG